GGCCGAGUAUAGCACACGAAGAUCUCCCCCACGGCACGGAUCCGACGGGGGCACCAACCCAGACAGAAAGAUCACAUCAGUGAUUCAACCCACGCAAAUGACACACCCCUCCAAGGGACGGCAUGGAAGAGCACCAGCAAGCCAGUGACUCAGCCCCCGUAAUAGGGUUAGAGGCAGAGAAUCCCAGUGGAGAGAGGAGAACUGGCCAGGCAGAUACAGCAUGGGCGGUUCGUUGCUCCAGUGCCUUUCCGUUCACCUUCACACCCCUGGGCCAGACUACACUCAAUCGUAGGACCUACUGAAGAGUAAAAAGAAGAUGAGUAUACAUUUUCCCGCUGCGUUUUGGUCUACACCCUACGACACCCGUGACACUAAUUGAGUGCUACUUGGUGGAGAAUGUGGCUGCAACAAAAACGAGGAUCUGAAGAUAGUUAAGUCAAAGACGAAUGAAGACAAGGCCUCAAAGAGAUGAACAAAAAAGCAAGUCGGUGCAGUUGCAGUACCAGGCGGUGAUACAGCCCGACAGGAUGGUCUCAAUGGUGCAUCUGUAAAAGGUUCUGAGGGUCUUAGGAGCCAAGACAAAUUUCUUCAGCCUACAGUUUUUACGACAGGUCUGAUUUAUAACAGAAACAUGCGUAUGUACAGUAUUGUAAGGAGUAGAGAAGCAGAUACGGGGAGUAGAACAUUUAAUGAGGAACAGACAUGGAACAAGACAGGAACAGUACACGGGUGAUGCAACGACAUAUGACAAUUAAUCCUGAAGCAGGGAACAGAGCUUGGGAACAGACAGAUCUAGGGGAGAUAAUGACACAGGUGAUUGAGUCCAGGUGAGUCCAAUAAUUGCUGAUGUGCGUGACGGGGGAAGGCACGUGUCUGUGAAAUGAUGGUGGCAGGAGUGUGUAAUGCUGGGGGAGCCUGGCACCUUCGAAUGCCAGGGAGAGAGAGUGGGAGCAGGUGUGACACAGUAUGGCAUGUGCCAUGUUCAUACAUUUCUAUAUUUUUGUACUUGCACAGACUUUUCAGAAAUGGG
rnacentral:lncRNA from 1 species